rnacentral:rRNA from 1 species
CACGUAGGGGGCGAGCGUUGUCCGGAUUUAUUGGGCGUAAAGAGCUCGUAGGCGGCUCAGUAAGUCAGGUGUGAAAACUCCAGGCUCAACCUGGAGACGCCACUUGAUACUGCUGUGGCUAGAGUCCGGUAGGGGAGCAUGGAAUUCCUGGUGUAGCGGUGAAAUGCGCAGAUAUCAGGAGGAACACCAGUGGCGAAGGCGGUGCUCUGGGCCGGAACUGACGCUGAUGAGCGAAAGCGUGGGGAGCGAACAGG